rnacentral:lncRNA from 1 species
GGUGGGGUAGCUGGCACCCUGAUUCCCACUAUUGGACAGCCCAGCCUCCUCCCUCUGAGGGAAUAAGACAGCUAUGUAGGCUCUAUCUGGUUUCCUUAGCAAUGUCCUUGAAGAGAAGGGCUCUGUGUUUGUAUUAACCUGGACCUUAUCUCAGCUAGCUAGCACUCAGGUUAAAGAAAUACUACUUUGAAUACAGUCAUGGUAAUGAAAGUAUGUGUUCUUAAACUCCCAGGCAGCGGGGAGUGGACACUUCACUUCUCCACCACUUCACCUCACUCCUCUCUGCUCCUCCUGUCUGUCUGCUUGCACUGUGUGUGUGUCUGUGUCCAUUCUUUUGUAUGCCUCCUGCACAGGCAUUCUUCUACAGGUGUUCCUUUACAGCCAGCGCUCAACAUUGGGGCACCAGACCCCACAUGUCCUCCCAGUCCACGGAGAGUUUGGGACAAGGAAGUCAGCCCAGACAGAGACCCUUCCAGACAUUCGGAGAGGUAAGGGGUCGGGGGAGUGGCUCAUGACGUGCAUCUUUACAC